rnacentral:rRNA from 1 species
ACAGCAGUCGCCACGGGAAUACGAAGGGGGCUAGCGUUGUUCGGAUUUACUGGGCGUAAAGCGCACGUAGGCGGACUUUUAAGUCAGGGGUGAAAUCCCGGGGCUCAACCCCGGAACUGCCUUUGAUACUGGGAGUCUUGAGUUCGAGAGAGGUGAGUGGAAUUGCGAGUGUAGAGGUGAAAUUCGUAGAUAUUCGCAGGAACACCAAUGGCGAAGGCGGCUCACUGGCUCGAUACUGACGCUGAGGUGCGAAAGCGUGGGGAGCAAACAGGAUUAGAUACCCCGGUAGUCCCUGUCUCUUAUAC